UACGAAGGGUGCAAGCGUUACUCGGAAUCACUGGGCGUAAAGUGUGCGUAGGCGGUUCGUUAAGUCUGUUGUGAAAGCCCUGGGCUCAACCUGGGAACUGCAGUGGAUACUGGCGAGCUAGAGUACGGUAGAGGAAGGUGGAAUUCCCGGUGUAGCGGUGAAAUGCGUAGAGAUCGGGAGGAACACCAGUGGCGAAGGCGGCCUUCUGGACCAGUACUGACGCUGAGGCACGAAAGCGUGGGGAGCAAACAGG
rnacentral:rRNA from 1 species